CCGCUGGCUAGCGGGCAUACCGGGAAGAGGUGGGACCCAGGAGUCGAACCCGGCUAAGAUAGCCCCUCUAAUCCCAUAUCAGCUUAUCCUGAUCAAAAAGGUGCGCGGUACUGAUCUAGAAGACUAGGAUGUGGCAAGAGUGGUCCCCCUUUUUUCAAUUGGAAAGUCAGAAUUACUAUGCUAUCGCGGGAAGGGCCUUCAGCUCAGCAGAUAAGAUAUAGUGUUAUCGAUGCUGUCGUCUAAUUCUCGAACGGUUAGAAAUGACUAUCUGCUUCUGUUACAACUAAGUAAAAUCCUCCCUGAUUGAAAGACGAAAAAAAUUCAAAGAACUACGGGGUGCAACUUAUCACUUUGACUCGUAGCGGGCUUUAUCUCAUUUGAGACAGUUGAAGUGGAUUCUGCCAUUCGGACAACUAUCACAUGCCAAUCUCGGAAUCCCCCUUUGUAGCUCCGGUCUACGGCUCCUAAUCAACUACACAAGUUCGCCACCUAAUCAACUACACAAGUUCGCCAUUGAGAAAGUGGUCCGCGAUUGGAGUCCCCCUUUAAUCAUAUCAUUCUUCUAGAAGUAGCUUAGUGGUAGAGCGGUCGGCUGUUAACUGAUUGGUCGUAGGUUCAAUUCCUACUUGGGGAG
rnacentral:lncRNA from 1 species